rnacentral:lncRNA from 1 species
GUCAAUGCCAAGAAAUAACGUACAACUGUGUGAAGUUCCUUGACAUUAUCUGGAAUAUUCUUUUGUAUAUAUUCAUUGAGCAUGGAACACACUUCAUUUGGGCUUUUUCGCCCAAUGCCUUCCCAAAGAUGGACGAGGGAAAAAUGCAAAUAGCAGAACAACAGCUAAGCCCCCACACGUUUAUGAACAAGUUGCUAAGCAUGUUGAAUCUUUUGAAGUUAAGGAAGCACAUUAUUCAAGUGGGACAAUAAAGUACUUGAAUGCUGAACUAAAUGUGAAAUUAAUGCACACUUAUCUUCAAGGAAAAAUAUCCGGAAUCAAAGGUGUCAUACUGGUUUUACUAUAAGUAUUUUAAAGAAAACUACUCUUUCAGAUUUGAUAGGCCACAAGUAGAUGUUUGCAGUAAAUGCGAAGAGUUAAAAACAAAACUAAAAAGUCUUUCUCUCAAUGUCAAUGCCAAGAAAGCAGCAGCUGCAGAAUUAAUGGUGCAUACUCGCAGAUAUAAAAAAUUUUACAAUAAACUUAAAGAAAUUAAGAAGAGAUGUGAAACUGAUAACAUAAUGGGCAUUUCAAUAGAAUUCAUGCAAAAUGUGCCACUACCUCACAUACCUGUACAAGAAGUGUUCUACUAUAGGCAGCUGUGGAUCUUUGUUUUUGGAAUUCAUGACCUGAAAACUGGAAAUGCCAGUUUCCAUUUGUAUCAUGAAGGCAUUGGGCGAAAAAGCCCA